rnacentral:rRNA from 1 species
UACGAGUGCCCCGAGCGUUAUCCGGAAUCAUUGGGCGUAAAGGGUGUGUAGGUGGUUAUGUUAGUCUUUUGUUAAAACCCGGGGCUCAACCUCGGAGGUGCGAAAGAAACGGCAUGACUAGAGGAUGGCAGGGAUGUAUGGAACUCAUGGAGUAGGGGUGAAAUCCGUUGAUAUCAUGGGGAACACCAAAAGCGAAGGCAGUACAUUGGGCCACUCCUGACACUGAAACACGAAAGCGUGGGUAGCGAAUGGG